CACCGGGGCGACAGCAAUAUGAAGGUCAGGCUGAAGACCUUACCCGAUUAGCUGAGAGGUGGUGCAUGGCCGUCGUCAGUUCGUACUGUGAAGCAUCCUGUUAAGUCAGGCAACGAGCGAGACCCACGUCCACAGUUGCCAGCAUACCUCCGGGGUGAUGGGUACACUGUGGAGACCGCCGCUGCUAAAGCGGAGGAAGGAGUGGGCAACGGUAGGUCAGUAUGCCCCGAAUCUCCCGGGCUACACGCGGGCUACAAUGGUUGGUACAAUGGGCAUCGUACCCCGAAAGGGGAAGGAAAUCCUCUUAAAGCCAAUCGUAGUUCGGAUUGAGGGCUGCAACUCGCCCUCAUGAAGCUGGAAUCCGUAGUAAUCGCGUUUCAACAGAACGCGGUGAAUACGUCCCUGCUCCUU
rnacentral:rRNA from 1 species